UACGGAGGGUGCAAGCGUUGUCCGGAUUUAUUGGGUUUAAAGGGUGCGUAGGCGGCCCGGUAAGUCAGUGGUGAAAGCCUCCAACUCAACUGGAGAACUGCCAUUGAUACUGCCGGGCUUGAGUACAGACGAGGUUGGCGGAAUUGAUUGUGUAGCGGUGAAAUGCAUAGAUACAAUCAAGAACUCCGAUUGCGUAGGCAGCUAACUAGGCUGUAACUGACGCUGAGGCACGAAAGCGUGGGGAGCGGACAGG
rnacentral:rRNA from 1 species